UACGUAGGGGGCAAGCGUUGUCCGGAAUCAUUGGGCGUAAAGAGCGUGUAGGCGGCUCGAUAAGUCUGCUGUGAAAGUCCAGGGCUCAACCCUGGAAGGCCGGUGGAAACUGUCGGGCUAGAGUCCGGAAGAGGCGAGUGGAAUUCCCGGUGUAGCGGUGAAAUGCGCAGAUAUCGGGAGGAACACCAAUGGCGAAGGCAGCUCGCUGGGACGGU
rnacentral:rRNA from 1 species